rnacentral:rRNA from 1 species
UACGAAGGGUGCAAGCGUUACUCGGAAUUACUGGGCGUAAAGGGUGCGUAGGUGGUUUGUUAAGUCUGCUGUGAAAUCCCCGGGCUCAACCUGGGAAUGGCAGUGGAUACUGGCAAGCUAGAGUGCGGUAGAGGGUAGUGGAAUUCCCGGAUGUAGCAGUGAAAUGCGUAGAGAUCGGGAGGAACACCAGUGGCGAAGGCGGCUACCUGGACCAGCACUG